rnacentral:lncRNA from 1 species
GGUUAAGACCUGAUGGUGGGUCACUGAGACACUGUGGAGGGAAAUGGAUAAGCCAGGAGUGUUGUGAAGAUGUAAUAAGGGCUGCACAUGUCAUAAUGGGAUCUAAACAAACAGGAGGUGUACAGGGCUUGUGGGGAGUUGGCUCCCCAGAAAUCUGGGAAGACUUCUAACUGGAAGACUGGAAGACUUCUAACUGGAGAUAAUGCAGUAGAGGAACUGAAGAUGCUUAUGAAGUCAUUAGUAUCAUGGACUGUAAAAAUCAAACACUGUGUAAUUCUCAGAAUACAACUAGACACUGCUCUCAUGGGAAGGAGAUUGAACUAUGUGUCUUGCGUCUUGGAAAAAAUGCAAAGCGACUCACUAACCAUGAAGAAAUAGCAAAUUAGGAAGACAGGAUGAUCAAUUUCCUUGUCUUAUUAAAAAAUAAAGUCUGCUUUCUUUUCUC